rnacentral:rRNA from 1 species
UACGUAGGGUGCGAGCGUUAAUCGGAAUUACUGGGCGUAAAGCGUGCGCAGGCGGUUCGUUGUGUCGGCGGUGAAAGCCCCGGGCUCAACCUGGGAAUGGCCGUUGAAACUGGCGAACUGGAGUGUGGCAGGAGGGGGUGGAAUUCCGCGUGUAGCAGUGAAAUGCGUAGAGAUGCGGAGGAACACCGAUGGCGAAGGCAGCCCCUGGGCUGACACUGACGCUCAGGCACGAAAGCGUGGGAGCAAACAGG